rnacentral:rRNA from 1 species
AUACGUAGGGGGCGAGCGUUGUCCGGAUUUAUUGGGCGUAAAGGGUGCGUAGGCGGCCUUGUAAGUCAGAUGUGAAAGAUCAUGGCUUAACUGUGGUAGGCAUUUGAAACUGCAGGGAUUGAGGACAGGAGAGGCGAGUGGAAUUCCUAGUGUAGGGGGGAAAUGCGGAGAUAUUAGGAGGAAUACCAGUGGCGAAGGCGACUCUCUGGACUGAUACUGACGCUGAGGCACGAAAGCGUGGGGAGCAAACAGGAUUAGAUACCCUGGUAGUCCACGCUAUAAACGAUGAGUGCUAGGUGUCGGGGGUCAAACCUCGGUGCCGCAGUUAACACAUUAAGCACUCCGCCUGGGGAGUACGGCCGCAAGGCUGAAACUCAAAUGAAUUGGCGGGG